AUUGAACGCUGGCGGCAGGCCUAACACAUGCAAGUCGAGCGAGCGGCGGACGGGUGAGUAAUGUAUGGGGACUGCCCGAUAGAGGGGGAUAACUACUGGAAACGGUGGAUAAUACCGCAUACUAUCGGAUAACCCAUAUGGGAUUAGCUAGUAGGUUGGGUAAAGGCUCACCUAGGCGACGAUCUCUAGCUGGUCUGAGAGGGUGAUCAGCCACACUGGGACUGAGACACGGCCCAGACUCCUACGGAGGCAGCAGUGGGGAAUAUUGCACAAUGGGCGCAAGUCUGAUGCAGCAAUGCCGCGGGUAUGAAGAAGGCCUUAGGGUUGUAAAGUACUUUCAGCGGGGAGGCGGUACCCGAAGAAGAAGCACCGGCUAACUCCGUGCCAGCAGCCGCGGUAAUAG
rnacentral:rRNA from 1 species